UAACCUACGGGGGGCAGCAGUGGGGGAUAUUGCACAAUGGGGGGAACCCUGAUGCAGCGACGCCGCGUGGGUGAAGAAGCGCCUCGGCGCGUAAAGCCCUGUCAGCAGGGAAGAAAAUGACGGUACCUGAAGAAGAAGCCCCGGCUAACUACGUGCCAGCAGCCGCGGUAAUACGUAGGGGGCAAGCGUUAUCCGGAAUUAUUGGGCGUAAAGAGUACGUAGGCGGUUCUUUAAGCGUAGGGUCUAAGGCGAUGGCUUAACCAUCGUUCGCCCUGUGAACUGGAGGACUUGAGUAUCGGAGAGGG
rnacentral:rRNA from 1 species